ACAUUGGUUUAGUGGUUAGCAUGUUUGCCUCGCACCUACAGGGUUGAGGGUUCGAAUCCCACCUCCGCCAUGUG